UACGUAGGUGGCAAGCGUUGUCCGGAUUUACUGGGCGUAAAGCGUGCGCAGGCGGUUUUGUAAGCCAGAUGUGAAAUCCCCGGGCUUAACCUGGGAAUGGCAUUUGGGACUGCAAGGCUUGAGUGCGGGCAGGAGGAGACUAGAAUUCCUGGUGUAGCAGUGAAAUGCGUAGAUAUCAGGAGGAAUACCGAUGGCGAAGGCAGGUCUCUGGGCUGACACUGACGCUCAGGCACGAAAGCGUGGGGAGCAAACAGG
rnacentral:rRNA from 1 species